rnacentral:lncRNA from 1 species
GACUGCUCCUGCCCUAUGGGCCCCGUUGGCUGUCAUCCCUUGGGCCUCCAUGCUGCCCCAUUUUCAGAAGACUUUCCUUGUCUUGAGGACUUCACGCCUUGCGGAACCCGGGCCAGGACAGUGGCGGCCAGGCCGGGACACGGUAAGUGACCUCCGCUUCCACGCGUCCAUUCCCCGCCGCUCCGCGCGGCUUCUCGCCCGCCCCUACCCCGAGGCCAGGCCGGAAUCCCCGAGGGAAGAGCCUGUCGCCGCGG